UAAAAUACAGGUGGUUUGCUUCCAUGAUCUGUGGUACCAGCAUUCUGGUUCAAUGCCCCAAAAAAUUUUGCUAUCAUUCAUAUAACGAAAGCAUUUAAUAGCUGAAUUAAAAUCUCAUGAGAGUGAAGUCUUAACUACCCUUCCUCUAAAUCUCAUUUUUUUUUAAUUUGUAUGCCCAAGUAACAAAGUAUUCUGAAAUCUGAAAUAUACCUCUUUUGACCAAACUAACACAAUUGUGGAGACCGAGAGUGGAAAGAAAGCUGGAAAGGUCCCUAACCCCUCUAGUUUUCUACCUGUCUCUAACCACUAUGUUGAUAAACCAAGAAAUGAUAUCAUGGUGAUUAUACAUUUUUUAUUGUUAACUAUUAAUUAGCAUUCUAAAUCUCUAACUGUCUCUUGCUGAUGAUUUUGAUGCAGAACCCAAUAGGAGAGAGCUGCUUG
rnacentral:misc_RNA from 1 species